rnacentral:sRNA from 1 species
GUCCCACCUCCCUGCUGGCUGUUGGCCCUUCCCAGCAUGGCGGUUGCUUCCCCUUCAGGGCCAGCAGGACAGGUCUGAAUUUCUCCCUUUCUGGCGUUGAAACACCCUCUGGAGGGCUUCGUGAUCGGGCCAUGCCCGCCUAGGAUGCUCUCCCUUCUGAUGAGCUCAAGUCACUGGUUAGGGUCCUUAAUCACAUCGACAACACCCACCCCACCUGGUCUGGAGUGGGACUGACUGGCUCCAGACAGACCAUGUUCUACACAGAGGUGACAGAUGCCCAGCAUAGCGGUCCAGGUGGGGGCCUGGUGGAGGAGGGUGAGCUCAUUGAGGUGGUGCACCUGCCCCUGGAAGGCGCCCAGGCCUUUGCAGACGACCCGGACAUCCCCAAGACCCUUGGCGUCAUCUUUGGUGUCUCGUGGUUCCUCAGCCAGGUGGCCCCCAACCUGGAUCUCCAGUGAGACUCCAGGGUUCUAGACAGAGGCCAGUCUUGGCCACUCACCCCACACCCCGCGGACCCCAAUAAAGGCUUGCAUAGCUCCAG